rnacentral:rRNA from 1 species
AUGGAACUGCCUAUUGCGUUGCGAAAGGGGACACGUGAAGCGGCACAGAAGGCUUUACCACAGGAGGUUUUUGAUGAUCAUGACAAUGGAAAUUUUGUGUCUUAUGAGGCUUUGUCUCCUUCCUAUAGAGUGUUUGUUGCCUCUCUUCAAACUGUGUCAACCCCAAAGGAUUGGAAGGCUGCAAAGCAAGAUCCGAAGUGGCGUGAAGCAAUGAUAGAAGAGUUGGAAGCACUGAGGAGAAACAAGACGUGGGUGCUAACUACAUUGCCGGCGGGAAAGAAAGCGGUGAGUUGUAAGUGGAGCUAUACAGUGAAGCAGAAUCCUGAGGGGGAGGUGGAAUGGUAUAAGGCCAGAUUGGUCACGAGAGGAUAUAGUCAAACUUAUGGAAUUGACUAUGACGAGACGUUUGCUCUAGUGGCAAAGAUGAACACUGUAAGGAUAUUGGUUUCCUGUGCUGCAAACUUUGGAUAG